ACACACACACACACAGCCUGCGACUCCGCACACAGCUACAACUCACACUACACACACCGGACCAGGCCAACAUCAGCAGGCGUGAGGAUGUGUGGGCGUGGCUUUCAGGCUCCCUGUUGCCAAGGUUACUGGAUGGCCCCACCCUAAUGCAGGAAACAGGAAGUGUGCUCCUGGGCACGCCCAGACUACGACAGAUACGAGACGUUAGUCUGUCCUCUCCAGGUCCCAUCCAUGGGGCAGGAGCAGCAGGCUGGGGAGAGGG